rnacentral:tRNA from 1 species
AAGGGUGAAGUAUAAAUUUUUACAUCUCAGUUACAUUGAGAAGAUCCGUCAUGUAGAGGCUCCCUUA